ensembl:lncRNA
GACCAUAGUCAAAGGCUGGAAUUAAUUUCUGAUUAGUCUGAAGGAACAAUAUGUUACCUGGAUCAGAAAGAGAAUGCCAAAGUUGGAGAAUGAGUCACUUCUGCUGCCGUCAGAGCUGUUCCAGGAGCCUACGAAACUGAAGUCCAUGUUUCAGGCACUCACUACCUUUGAUGCAUUUGAUGAGGAGCCUCAAACAGUGGAUUCCUCCUGGUUUGGCAGCCAAGAAAAGAUUUAUUUCAGUGUUUACACCUGCUGGAAAAUUGGGAAUUCCAGAAAUCUCACAGUGUCCAGACCAGUUUUCUUUACCAAUCUGGGAUGCAGCACCCUCUUUUGAAAAACAGAGAUCAGUUCUUAGACUUUGUACAUUUAUACUAGUUUUACUUCAUUGGUACCAGGGUGACUUGAAUUCUUGAAAAGGAUGCAGUUUCCUAGAAACUUUUAGAAGAAAAGCAUUAAAAUAAAAGUUGACCAUUGAAUGGCUGGGAUUUUCUG